UCUGGGAUAGCUCAGUUGGUACAGCAUGAGACUCUUAAUCUGAGGGUCAUGGGUUUGAGCCCCAGAGUGCAUUGCAGGG